rnacentral:rRNA from 1 species
UUAUCUCCCCCAAGAGUCCACAUCGACGGGGAGGUUUGGCACCUCGAUGUCGGCUCAUCGCAUCCUGGGGCUGUAGUCGGUCCCAAGGGUUGGGCUGUUCGCCCAUUAAAGCGGUACGCGAGCUGGGUUCAGAACGUCGUGAGACAGUUCGGUCCCUAUCCGUCGUGGGCGCAGGAAAUUUGAGAGGAGCUGUCCUUAGUACGAGAGGACCGGGAUGGACGCACCGCUGGUGUACCAGUUGUCUUGCCAAAGGCAUCGCUGGGUAGCUAUGUGCAGAAGGGAUAAGUGCUGAAAGCAUCUAAGCAUGAAGCCCCCCUCGAGAUGAGAUUUCCCAUCACGUAUGUGAGUAAGAUCCCUAGAAGAUGACUAGGUAGAUAGGUCAGAGAUGGAAGCAUGGCGACAUGUGGAGUUGACUGAUACUAAUCGAUCGAGGACUUAACCACAA